GACGAACGCUGGCGGCGUGCUUAACACAUGCAAGUCGAACGGAAAGGCCCUGCUUGCAGGGUACUCGAGUGGCGAACGGGUGAGUAACACGUGGGUGAUCUGCCCUGCACUUCGGGAUAAGCCUGGGAAACUGGGUCUAAUACCGGAUAGGAGCCAUUUUUAGUGUGAUGGUUGGAAAGUUUUUUCGGUGUAGGAUGAGCUCGCGGCCUAUCAGCUUGUUGGUGGGGUAAUGGCCUACCAAGGCGGCGACGGGUAGCCGGCCUGAGAGGGUGGACGGCCACAUUGGGACUGAGAUACGGCCCAGACGCCUACGGGAGGCAGCAGUGGGGAAUAUUGCACAAUGGGCGCAAGCCUGAUGCAGCGACGCCGCGUGGGGGAUGAUGGCCUUCGGGUUGUAAACUCCUUUCGCUAGGGACGAAGCUUUUUGUGACGGUACCUAGAUAAGAAGCACCGGCUAACUACGUG
rnacentral:rRNA from 1 species